rnacentral:lncRNA from 1 species
AUAUCUUGAAAUAUUUUUUAAAACAUAAGGAUUAAAGGAACUCCUAAAUCAAAAUACAGGAACCAACAAAUUGAAUAUUUACCCAUCAUUUCACCGAGUAUAUAUUAUUAGAAUGAUUAGUUAAUGUCGUUAAGUCCUCUUCUGUAUGGUUGUUAGCUUUAUUUAGUUAUUUAUCAGGAGAUUCAUUUCUCACUAGAUGCUAGAAAUUGAUGGAUCAAUUACUUUUUAUUUUUUUCUCCUUUUAGAUGACAACUUGCUAUCUCUGGUGAGUAUUGAUAGAAUACGAAAAAUAAAAUAGUUUUCUAUUUUCCAAAUUGCAUUUUUGAUAACAACUCAAAUGAUCAAAUCUCUGUGGUCGAGUUACAAGUUAGCCUUCCCCCAGAUCUCUGCCAUUUUCCCCUCCACGUCCAUUUGGUCCAAACACUCCAACACCUUCUCCUGGUAAUAUCUCAUACAUCUUAGCUCAAUUUAUUCGUUUAUCGAUCUUAUCGAUUUUAAUUAUUGCUGCCCCAACAAUUAAAAAAGUAUAUCAUAUCCCAGUCAAGUUAAUUGGACUUCUGAGUCACCACAUCAAUAAAUAGAUUUGAUGUCAUCCAAAUUUGUCACUCUUCGAUUGUCUUCUCUUUUAUUGAUUUGGCAACUCGUUAGUUCUGAGUGGGGUUAUAAGGGUUGAAAAAAAUGUUAAAUUUUGGGCCAUAAAAGCAUGCAUAAUUAAUUAAUGGGCCACUAAUUUCUUUUUCUUAAAAAGAGAAUUUUUGGAGGGAGUUCGGAAGAAGGCCAAUUCAUAAAUGAGUCUCCCCACAAAUACAAUUCAAGCCACACAAUUUCUCUUGUUAUACAUACUCUACUUAAUGGCGUUUGCGAAUUCUUGAAUUAUCAAACGAAUAGCAAGAUAACACUUCAACAUCUGUGGUCACAUGGAGUGAAAUCCUCUCUCUCUUUGAUGUAAUAUUUGGACACUCUACAUUGACUUGUCAUGUUGUUGAGAAACUAUUACAUUAUGUUAGAAAAUUGAUGGAUGAAGCAGACACGCAGCUAAAAUAAAAUUAGAAAAUAAUAAAGAACAAGCACAAAAGAGGACACCAGAAAUUACGUGGUUCAGCUUUUAGUCUACGUCCACAGGCGAAAAUAGAAGGAAAAUAUUUUACUAGUGAAAAUGAGUUAUAAGUAUUGUGAUAUUUUAGCUCACUACCCAAAAUCCCAAUACACCUAAACUCUCAAAACACUAAUCACUCAAGAGUUUAUUAAACUCUUAAUACUCUCACCUCUCUAAAGGAAGGAAAUGCUUCUCUCUCGAUGGAAUGCUUCAGCUCUUCAUUUGUACUUCUAUUUAUAGCAAAAUGAUGGCCAAGAAAGUCAAAAUCGUGUUCCUCAUUUUCUUCUUCAAACUGCCUCUUUUUCCAUUUUCCUCUUCAAGCAUUUCGGCCCAUUUUCAACAUUUCUAGGAGAGUGGUGCCCCAUAUUCAACAUUUCUCCCACUUGGAGAUUUGAUUGAGAACCAAUCAAUCUUCACACCAUCCUUUCUACUUCGCCAUAAUCAUGUUGCCUACGUUUCUGCUAGGCCACAAGAGGAUCUACUCUAGAUAAACUUAUCAGCUUUGAUUGGCUUGGUCAAAACAUCUACUAGGUUCUCCUUCGUAUGGAUUUUCUAUAAAUCCACACUUCCGUCUUCCACUACUUCUCGAACAAAAUGAUACUGAACUCUUAUGUGCUUUGUCCUGGAAUGAAAGCCUGGAUUCCUUGCAAUGUGCAAGACACUCUGACUGUCACAAUACACAUAAAUUUUUCUUGUUUGUGUCCGAGCUACUCCAAUAACCUUUGUAUCCAAAUAGCUUCCUUGCAAGCUUGUGUAGCUGCCAUGUACUCUGCUUCUGUUGUAGAUAAAGCCACAACGGUCUACAGUUUCGAAACCCAGCGUACGGCUGAUCCCACAAGUGUAAACACAUAGCCAGUAGUGGAUUUCCUCUUAUCAAGAUCUCCUGCAAAAUCUGAAUCCACAUAGACCCUGACAGUAAAUUCUGAUCUUUCAUAACAUAAUGCAACAUCUGAGGUUCCUCUUAUGUAUCUCAGAAUCCUCUUCACAGCUAUCCAAUGCUCGCCACCAGGAUUCGCCAUGUAUCGACUGACUGCUCCCACUGCUUGUGCAAUGUCCGGUCUAGUACAUAUCAUAGCGAACAUUAAACUUCCCACUGCUGAUGCAUACGGUACUCGAGACAUCUCCUUCCUCUCUGCUUCAUUGCUAGGACACAUACUUGAGGAUAAUUUGAAAUUAACAGGAAGUGGGGUAGAAAUUGACUUACAAUCUUGCAUGUUGAAGCGUCGCAAGAUUUUCUUCAAGUAGUUCUUUUGUGAAAGCCAAAUCUUCCAAUUAUUUUUGUCUCGGUGAAUUUUCAUCCCUAAAAUCUUAUUUGCUAGUCCCAAGUCCUUCAUUUCAAACUCCCUAGCCAAUUGUGCCUUCAAUUCUUGGACUCGAUCUUUGUUGAGGCCUGCUACUAACAUAUCAUCCACGUACAACAGCAAAAUGAUGAAAUCAUUAUCUUCAAACCUCUUGUAAUAUGCACAAUGGUCUGAACUGAAUCUAUUGUAUCCAAGGCUCAUGAUUAAAAAAUCAAAUCUCUUAUACCAACACCUCGGUGCUUGUUUGAGACUGUAUAGAGAUUUAUUCAACCUACAAACCAAGUUCUCAUUUCUUGUUUCUGCAAAACCUUCUGGUUUGAGCAUAUAUAUUUCUUCUUCAAGUUCUCCAUGAAGAAAUGCAGUUUCACAUCCAACUGCUCAAGAUGUAAGUCAAAUGUAGCACACAUCGCCAAGACAACUCUGACUGUUGUAAGUCAAACCACUGGAGAAAAUAUCUCGUUAAAGUCAAUACCUUCUUUCUGAGCAUAUCCUUUCACUACCAAUCUUGCACGAUACCACUCCACUUGGUCAUUGGCAUCACGCUUGAUCUUGUAGACCCAUUUGUUUCCAAUGGCUUUUCUUCCGUGUGGUAGUAGUACAAGUUCUUAUGUCUUGUUCUUGUGUAGAGCUUUAAUUUCUUCCUGCAUUGCUGUCAUCCACAAAGCAACAUCUGAGCUAUUUAAAGCUUCAUGGAAAGUUGAAGGCUCUCCAUUCUCUGUUAGAAGACAAUAUGCAAUGUUGAUCUCUGUGACAUACUCCGAGUGCCACGUUGGCGAUCGUCUCUCACGAGUUGACCGACGAACUUCUGGAGCCUCAGACUCGAUUGGUUCUUGUUCUUCAUGCUCUGGUGCUGCUUCAGAAGAAUCUGAAUCUUCUGGAUUAUUUUCCACAUAUACCGGUAUAGUCUCUGACUUUUCUUUUACACUGUUAUCAUCCUCAUCUCUCCUUUGUAGUUGAUCUUUUAUAAAGAUAACAUCUCUGCUGAUGACGAUCUUGUUGGCAGUGGGGUCCCACAGACGAUACCCCUUUACUCCAUCAGCAUAUCCCAAGAAGAUACAUCUUUUAGAUUUUGGAUCCAGUUUUGUUCUUUCUUGGGCAUUGUACAUCACGUACAUAGGACACCCAAAUGCGUGUAGGUAGGAAUAAUCAGCUGGCUUUCCAGUCCACAUCUCCAUCGCCGUCUUCAACCCAAUAGUUGUAGAUGGCGGCCGAUUUACUAUAUAAUAGGCAGUUUUGGCUGCUUCUGCCCAAAAUCAAUUAGGUAGACCAACAGUCCUCAACAUAGCUCUUAUCCAUUCUGUAAGAGUUCUAUUCAUCCGCUCUGCCACUCCAUUUUGUUGAGGAGUGUAUGCCACCGUGAACUGCCUUUGAAUACCUUCUUACUUACAGAAAGCAAGAAACUCGCCGUCUGUAUACUCUCCACCAUUAUCUGUCCUUAAGCACUUGAUCUUUUUACCAGAUUCAAGUUCCACCCGUGCUUUGUAUUCUUUAAACACUGGAAAUACAUCUGACUUUUCUUAAUUGGAUACACCCAACAUCUUUUGGAAUAAUCAUCAAUGAAAGUCACCAUGUACUUUGCACCUCCUAUGGAUAUAUCCGGUGAUUCCCAAACAUCAGAAUGAAUCGAGUCUAGAAUGCAUAUACUUCUAGCAAUAGAUCUACUGAAUUUUAAUCUAUGCUGCUUACUUGUAACACAAUGCUCGCAAAAUGGUAAACUUACCGAUUUGAGCCCCGGAAGCAAUUUUCACUCAGAGAGAAUCUUCAAAUCUUGUUCUGACAUGUGGCCAAGUUUGAGAUGCCACAUCAUCGUUGAUUCUUCUCCAUUUGACGCGACACACGAAUCAGCCUCUUGUAGUGUUUCUCCUUUAAGCAUGAAUAGAUUAGCACUGAUCUUUUCUGCCUUCAUCAAUACAAGCGCUCCUUUAACAAUCUUUAUAAUAUCAUUCUCCACAUGAGUUUUGUACCCAUGACUAUCCAUUUGUCCCAAAGACAAUAGAUUUUUCUUCAGGCCGUUGACAUAUCGUACCUCCCCAAUUGUGCGAAUUGUACCAUCAAACAUUUUUAUAUUGAUAGUACUAAUACCAACAAUCUCUAAGGCAUGAUCAUUACCCAUAUAUACAGAUUCUCCUGAGAUAGGUUCAUAUGUGUGGAACCAUUCUCUAUGAGAGGUCAUGUGCCAUGUAGCUCCUGAGUCUAUAAGCCAGACAUUAGAUAGUCAUUUUCUACCUUUUGAAACAGUUGUUGCCUCACUGUAGAGAAUUUCGCCAUCAUCUGAGGUACUUGUUACACAACCCUGAGCAUUUGAUGACUCAGGUUCUUUGCCCUCUCUUCUCUUUCGGUUACUCCAACACUCUUUUUUUACAUGCCCUUUCUUGCCACAGUUGUAGCAUUUAACAUUCUUUUUACUUCUAGAUUUUGAUCUACCAUGAUUUUGACUCCCAUUGGGGCCACGUUCUGUUGAUCUCCCUCUCAUCACCGAUAAUGCCUCCGCUUGCUGCGAACUUGCUUGUCUGUUUUCCUUAUUUUUCUGCCUGCUCUCCUCAUUUAAUAUGGAGGCUGCAACAUCGUCAAAAACUAGACUGUCCACUGGAUUGUUGUUCGUUAGGUUGAUGAUGAGUUGAUCAUACGAAUCUGGUAGACUUUGAAGUAGAAGCUUUGCACGUUCAUUCUCCUCUAUACUAUAACCCAACAUUGUGAGUUGUGAAAAUAGAGUCUUCAAGGUGUUAAUAUGGUCGGUCACCAUUGUAUAUUCCGCCAUUCGAAGAGUAUAGAGUUUCCUCUUCAAGAAGAUUUGUUGUGUAGUGGCUUGGCCUCGUACAAUUUUGUGAGAGUAUCUCAUAUUUCCUUCGCUGUAUUUUUCUCUGCCACACUGGAUAAUACUCCGUCCGCAAGUGCCAAGUGUAGAUCAGAAAUGGCGUUGCCAUCUACCUCGUUCCACUUGUCAUCAGUUAUCUCCAUGGGCUUUUCUCCAAUUGCUGCCAAGCAAUUAUUUUUCCUCAAUACAGCUUUCAUCUUCAUUUUCCACAACGAAAAAUUAUUUCCGUUAAAUUUCUCAAUUUCAUACUUUGUUUCCAUUUGGUUGUUAAAUACCGCACACAAGUUAGUGUACCACCUUGAAUAGUUUUGAGUAUAUGUGAGAAUGCACACCAGGAAAGUUCACAGGAAAGACUGGAGGGAUCACAAUGGUCCCACUUAAAACCAGACUCCUUAAGCUCUUAUCGCCUUUGUGACAGAACUUUUCUAGACAUGUACAAAACCACAUAGUUGUUUUACUCACACACUAUUCCCUGCUUUGCACCGCAAAAUNNNNNNNNNNNNNNNNNNNNNNNNNNNNNNNNNNNNNNNNNNNNNNNNNNNNNNNNNNNNNNNNNNNNNNNNNNNNNNNNNNNNNNNNNNNNNNNNNNNNAUAAAUAGAUUUGAUGUCAUCCAAAUUUGUCACUCUUCGAUUGUCUUCUCUUUUAUUGAUUUGGCAACUCGUUAGUUCUGAGUGGGGUUAUAAGGGUUGAAAAAAAUGUUAAAUUUUGGGCCAUAAAAGCAUGCAUAAUUAAUUAAUGGGCCACUAAUUUCUUUUUCUUAAAAAGAGAAUUUUUGGAGGGAGUUCGGAAGAAGGCCAAUUCAUAAAUGAGUCUCCCCACAAAUACAAUUCAAGCCACACAAUUUCUCUUGUUAUACAUACUCUACUUAAUGGCGUUUGCGAAUUCUUGAAUUAUCAAACGAAUAGCAAGAUAACACUUCAACAUCUGUGGUCACAUGGAGUGAAAUCCUCUCUCUCUUUGAUGUAAUAUUUGGACACUCUACAUUGACUUGUCAUGUUGUUGAGAAACUAUUACAUUAUGUUAGAAAAUUGAUGGAUGAAGCAGACACGCAGCUAAAAUAAAAUUAGAAAAUAAUAAAGAACAAGCACAAAAGAGGACACCAGAAAUUACGUGGUUCAGCUUUUAGCCUACGUCUACGAGCAAAAACAGAAGGAAAAUAUUUUACUAGUGAAAAGGAGUUACAAGUAUUGUGGUAUUUUAGCUCACUACCCAAAAUCUCAAUACACCCAAACUCUCAAAACACUAAUCACUCAAGAGUUUAUUAAACUCUUAAUACUCUCACCUCUCUAAAGGAAGGAAAUGCUUCUCUCUUGAUAGAAUGCUUCAGCUCUUCAUUUGCACUUCUAUUUAUAGCAAAAUGAUGGCUAAGAAAGUCAAAACCAUGUUCCUCCUUUUCAAAACCGUGUUCCUCAUUUUCUUCUUCAAACUGCUUCUUUUUUCAUUUUCCUCUUCAAGCAUUUCGGCCCAUUUUCAACAUUUCUAGAAGAGUGGUGGCCCAUAUUCAACACAUUAAAGUGUUCAAUUUAAUUUUGAUUAAGUGAAAGAAAGGGAUGGGACCGUCCAAUUAAUUAAAUUAAAGUUUCUACUGAGCAGUGCCACAAAUAUUAUUCUCAUGGUUUAUUGCUCGAGUCUUUUUCAACUAAUCAAAAUACACCUAAUGUUAUUAAUGCUUUGCAUUUUGCCCCAGUAUUUUUCUCCUGUUUUUUAUCCUUAAGCUUUUGGUGAAGACCUAGUCUGUUCGUAAAAUAUUCAGGUGCCGUAAAUUGUCUCUAAGUCAAAAGAAAACGAUACAACAAUUGUAUUUCAAUUUAUCCAAAAAUUUGAGUUCAAACCUUCAAGCAACAUAACAUUUACAUAUGUCAUGUUACCACGGAGAAGAAAAUUUUGGUAUUUUUCUUUUUGAAUGAGUAGAAUUAUAUUGUGAUAAAAACUACCACAAUCACAUUAAAAAUAAUUUUUUUUGGGCACCUCUUCCUAGGGGUGUUCGCAGAUUGAAUUUUGCAGAUUGGAUAUCAAUCCAUAUCUAAUCCAUGAUUUUGCGGAUUAUAAAUUUUUAAUUUAAUAUAAUCCAGGAAUUAGUGAAAUUCAAUCCAAAUCCAAUCCAUGCAUCUGCGGAUUGUAUGUGGAUUGUGUUUUACGGAUUGGUUUGCGGGCUAAAAUUUUUUAAUUCCAUUCUAUCCAUGAACUAACUAAAUAAAAAAUUAAUAUAAAAAUAAUUUUACUACCGAUCAAAUUUAAAAUUAAAUAAGAUUUAAAUAAAUUAAUUGUUUAAAUAAGGCUAAAAAAUACAUUCAAAGUUUCAAAAUAUAACACACUAAAAAGAAAAAAAAUCUCAUUUGUUGAGAUCAGUACAUAAAAA